rnacentral:rRNA from 1 species
UCAGACGAUGCGUCAUGCAUAUCAAUAAGCGGAGGAAAAGAAACUAACAAGGAUUCCCCUAGUAACGGCGAGUGAAGCGGGAAGAGCUCAAAUUUGAAAUCUUCAAGGUUUGACCUUGACGAAUUGUAGUUUAAAGAAGUGUUUUCGGUUAGAGGAGUGGUAAAAGUUCUUUGGAAUAGGACAUCAUAGAGGGUGAGAAUCCCGUAUUUGAUCAUUCCUUCUAGCUUUGUGAUACACUUUCAAAGAGUCGGAUUGUUAGGGAAUGCAGUCCAAAAUGGGUGGUAAAUUUCAUCUAAAGCUAAAUAUUGGCGAGAGACCGAUAGCGAACAGGUACCGUGAGGGAAAGAUGAAAAGAACUUUGAAAAGAGAGUUAAACAGUACGUGAAAUUGUCAAAAGGGAAGCGUUUGACACCAGUGUUGUUUUCUCGAAAAUCAAUUAAAAAGAGUUGGAUUUUGUGUUGUAUUGACCUUAACAGCUUGCUUCACUCUUUUCCUGCUUUUUUUAGUGCACUUUUCGUUUAACAAGUCAACAUCAGUUUCUUUUGUUGUAAAAGGGUCAUUGGAAGGUGGCUUUCUCUUCGGAGAAAGUGUUUAUAGCCUUUGAUCUCUGCAAUCGGAGAGACUGAGGUCUGCAGCGUAGAUCCUUCGGGGUUAGAUACAUUUGUGCUAAGCUACAGCUUUUCAUAGCCAACUUGUUGACUAUGUUUAGUCUUGUAACUUACCCGCUUAUGCUAUUUUACCUACGCUUAGGAUGUUGAUAUGCAUGACUGAUAU